rnacentral:rRNA from 1 species
GUGGAUUCUCAAGCGUGAGGUAAGAGCAUUUGGUGGAUGCCUUGGCAUGUACAGGCGAAGAAGGACGUGGCACGCUGCGAUAAGCGUGGGGGAGUUGUGAGCAAACUUUGAUCCCACGAUGUCCGAAUGGGGAAACCCACCUUCACCAUUUCUUUCAUCAUCCUUUCGGGGAUGGCGAGAGAGGUGGAUAAGGUAUCACCAUAGUGAAUAUAUAGCUUUGGUGAAGCGAACCCGGGGAACUGAAACAUCUCAGUACCCGGAGGAAAAGAAAUCAACCGAGAUUCCCGUAGUAGUGGCGAGCGAACCGGGACCAGGCCAGUGCCUUGUCGUAAAUUAGCAGAACAUUCUGGAAAGUUUGACCAUAGUGGGUGACAGUCCCGUAUGCGAAAAUGAUCGACGAGGACUUGAGUAGGGCGGGACACGUGAAAUCCUGUCUGAACGUGGGGGGACCACCCUCCAAGCCUAAAUACUCGUACAUGACCGAUAGCGAACACAGUACCGUGAGGGAAAGGUGAAAAGCACCCCGAUUAGGGGAGUGAAACAGUACCUGAAACCGGAUGCUUACAAGCAGUUGGAGCCCCAUAGGGGGUGACAGCGUACCUCUUGCAUAAUGGGUCAGUGACUUAAUCUAGCAUGCAAGCUUAAGCCGUUAGGUGUAGGCGAAGCGAAAGCGAGUCUGAAUAGGGCGACUGAGUAUGUUGGAUUAGACCCGAACCCCGGCGAUCUAGGCAUGACCAGGUUGAAGGUGCAGUAACAUGCACUGGAGGACCGAACCGUUGAAUGUUGAAAAAUUCUCGGAUGAGUUGUGUUUAGGGGUGAAAGGCCAAUCAAGCCGGGAAAUAGCUGGUUCUCCGCGAAAU